CAGAGUGACAGGUGCCGCAUGGCUGUCGUCAGCUCGUGUCGUGAGAUGUUGGGUUAAGUCCCGCAACGAGCGUAACCCUUGUCUUUAGUUGCCAGUAUUCAGUUAGGCACUCUAAAGAGACUGCCUCGGUUAACGGGGAGGAAGGUGGGGAUGACGUCAAGUCCUCAUGGCCUUUAUACCCAGGGCUACACACGUGCUACAAUGGGCUGUACAAAGGGUUGCUAUCCCGUGAGGGGGCGCUAAUCCCAAAAAGCAGUCCUAAGUUCGGAUUGAAGUCUGCAACUCGACUUCAUGAAGUCGGAAUCGCUAGUAAUCGCGGAUCAGAACGCCGCGGUGAAUACGUUCUCGGGGUUU
rnacentral:rRNA from 1 species